UCAGCAACCACUAGCCUCUUAAGUCAACAGCCAUCAAUAUCAAGACAAGACCCUUCAUCAGCAAAAAUACGAUGACUUGGUGAAGGCUUAGAUAAUUGUUCCCUUGGAAUCCAGUCACCAUGCUGUGAGGAAAUCAAAGCCAAAGGGAAGUUUCACAUGAAGAGCAAUCAAGUCGUUUAGCCCUCAGCCUGAUGACCACCCUACUGACUGCUGCCCGUGUGAGUGAGCCAUCAUAAAAGCAAAUCCAUCAGUUUUCAACUGAGCCUCAGUUGAGGAUGCCUGGGAUAGAAACAAGUCUCUCCCAUAUAGAUCUUUCAAAACUGCAUGUUGGC
rnacentral:lncRNA from 10 species